UACGUAGGGGGCAAGCGUUGUCCGGAUUUAUUGGGCGUAAAGAGCGUGUAGGCGGCCAGGUAGGUCUGCUGUGAAAACUCGAGGCUCAACCUCGAGACGUCGGCGGAAACCAUCUGGCUAGAGUCCGGAAGAGGAGAGUGGAAUUCCUGGUGUAGCGGUGAAAUGCGUAGAUAUCUGGAGGAACACCGGUGGCGAAGGCGGCAUCCUGGACCGAGAUUGACGCUGAUGCGCGAAAGCCAGGGGAGCAAACGGG
rnacentral:rRNA from 1 species